AUUGAACGCUGGCGGCAGGCCUAACACAUGCAAGUCGAACGAGUGGCGGACGGGUGAGUAAUGUCUGGGAAACUGCCCGAUGGAGGGGGAUAACUACUGGAAACGGUAGCUAAUACCGCAUACCACAGGAUGUGCCAAGGUGGGAUUGGCUGGGGGGUGGGGUAACGGCUCACAUAGGCGACGAUCCCUAGCUGGUCUGUGAGGAGGACCAGACACACUGGAACUGAGACACGGUCCAGACGCCUACGGGAGGCAGCAGUGGUGAAUAUUGCACAAUGGGCGCAAGCCUGAUGCAGCCAUGCCGCGGGUAUGAAGAAGGCCUUCGGGUUGUAAAGUACUUUCAGCGAGGAGGCGUUACUCGCAGAAGAAGCACCGGCUAACUCCGUGCCAGCAGCCGCGGUAAUAC
rnacentral:rRNA from 1 species